rnacentral:rRNA from 1 species
ACGCUCGACACCUACGGGAAGCAGCAGUGGGGAAUAUUGGGCAAUGGAGGCAACUCUGACCCAGCAACGCCGCGUGAAUGAUGAAGGUCUUCGGAUUGUAAAGUUCUGUGACGGGGGACGAACACAAUGACGGUACCCCGAUAGCAAGCCACGGCUAACUACGUGUCAGCAGCCGCGGUAAUCUGAGCGGGCUGGCAAGGC